rnacentral:rRNA from 1 species
AUGGAGUCCGGCGCCGACGAAGUAGUGUUCGACUGCGAUGACUACCGCAUAUACCGGAGCGGCCAGAUGGACCGCCUCUGUCGCCCGGCUCGUGUGCCCACCGGCCUCGACCCGGCCACCGGCGUCACGUCCAAAGACGUGGUCCUUGACUACGACACCGGCCUGUCCGUCCGCCUCUUCCUCCCCACCAGCCGAGACCCCUCCAAGAGGCUCCCGAUCCUCGUCUUCUUCCAUGGCGGCGGCUUCCUCGUCGAGUCGGCCGUCUCCCCGCAGUACCACAACUACGUGGCGUCCCUCGCUGCCGUGGCCGGCGUCGUCGCCGUCUCCGUCGAGUACCGCCUCGCGCCCGAGCAUCCGGUGCCCGACGCCUACGACGACACCUGGGCCGCGCUAUCGUGGGCCGCCUCGAGCCAGGACGAGUGGCUCGCCGAGCACGGCGACAGCGCGCGCCUCUUCCUGGCCGGCGACAGCGCCGGCGGCAACAUAGUGCACAACGUCCUCAUCAGAGCGUCGUUCCAGCCGGCGCCGAGAGUAGAAGGCGCGAUUCUUCUGCAUCCUUGGUUCGGAGGGAACACGUUCCUCGAAGGUGAGGUCGAGGCGACGGCCAAGGACAUGGCCAUGAUCUGGGAGUUCGCGUGCCCCGGCGCGGUGGGCGGCGCGGACGACCCGAGGAUGAACCCGAUGGCGCCGGGCGCCCCGGGGAUGGAGAAUCUCCGGUGCGAGCGGAUGCUCGUGUGCGCCGGCGAGAAGGACUGGCUGGCGGCCAGGGACCGAGCGUACUACGCGGCGGUGACCACCAGCGCGUGGCGCGGGAGCGUAUGGCGUGGAGGCGUGGCGUGGUUCGAGUCGGAAGGCGAGGGGCACGUCUUCUUCCUGAAGAAGCCGGACUGUGCCAAGGCCAAGGAGCUCAUGGCUCGCGUCGUGGCGUUCAUCGCCGGCACCUGA